rnacentral:rRNA from 1 species
GUGGCGCACGGGUGAGUAAUGUAUAGCUAACCUGCCCCUUGGAGGGGGACAACAGAUGGAAACGUCUGCUAAUACCCCAUACUCCUUCUUAGUUAAAGGCAAUUCGGGAAAACUCCGGUGCCAAGGGAUGGGGCUGUAUCCUAUCAGCUUGUUGGUGAGGUAAUGGCUUACCAAGGCGAUGACGCAUAGCUGGUCUGAGAGGAUGAUCAGCCACACUGGAACUGAGACACGGUCCAGACUCCUACGGGAGGCAGCAGUGGGGAAUAUUGCACAAUGGGGGAAACCCUGAUGCAGCAACCCCGCGUGGAGGAUGACGCAUUUCGGUGUGUAAACUCCUUUUAUCGGGAAAGAUAAUGACGGUACCCUAUGAAUAAGCACCGGCUAACUCCGUGCC